rnacentral:lncRNA from 1 species
UAAAUUUGAUUGAAGGUGAUCCAUUAUUGACUAUUAGUUGUCAAGUAUGCAAUAAAUAAAGAGAAAUAUAAAGAUGUCAAUAAUAAGUCAAAUAUCUCAAAUAAGGCAAAACUCAUUUCAUUAUUUACUAUUUGAUAAGUGUCCGUCAAGUACUUUAUGGAAUUAUUAAGUGAUCAAAUGUCAUGGUGUUAGUCGAAAUGUGAAUUUAUACAUGUAUAUAAUAAUGAUACAUGUAUUUAUUAAUUGCAACUCAUUUUAGAGGUCUGGUCCGGUCUAAAAUGAAAUGUUCAUGUUUUUAUGAGAUAUAGAAAUAAAUGUUUGUCUUUUGUUAUUGUAGACGAAAAGCGCAUCUGGCGCGAAUAUAAAAUUCCAAUUCCGGUAUCUACGAUGAGUUAAUUUACAACCACUGGGUAGAUGCCACUGUUUUUGGCGUUUUUAUUCCCCGAGGGUAAAAUCAGCCCAGUAGUCAGCACGUUUGUGUUGACAUGAAUAUAAAUUAACUGUUAAAAAAACUUAGAUUAUUUAAAUACUAAGGCUGUUCUUACUCAUGCAUAGAUUACCUAAGCUGUUCCCAAUUCUCUUCAACUUCGUACUUUAUUUGGCAUUUUUUAUAUUUUUUUAUUCGAACGUCACUGGUGAGUCUUUUGUAGACGAAAUGCGCGUCUUGUGCAAAUACAAAAUUUUAAUCCUGAUUUCUAUGAUGAUUUAUUUAUAUGACCAUUAAAUAAUUAAAGUUUGGUAUAUACUUUUUCAUCAGUUUUCAAUUUCGAUCUUCAACAUCAGGCAUUCUGUACAAUUGUAUAGACCAUGAUAUUGAAAGGUGUUGAUACUCCUAUUGACUCUGAUUCAUUUAGUGGAAACAACAAGUAAGACUAAAUUUCACUGCAGAAGAUCAUCGUAAAUAACGCAUAUUCAGUGAUGUUCGAUGCCAAACACAAAAUCUUUAAGAGCAGAUAUAGGUAGCAAUAAACAGUAAGGAAAAAAUAUUAAAAUUUGCCCUUAUAAAUUUUACCAUCCCCCUUUCAUUGCUUUCUUGCAAUAUCAAGCUUACUGUUUGUGUCAUAUAUGGGCAUAUGUAUGUAAUCAGAAUCUUCCAUAGAUUUUAUAUCCAGUAUAUAAAAUGGUAAAAUAUAGUUUCUUUCGGGUGUAUCCAUGCCAACAAUCUGCAUUUAUUUGUUAUAAAAUAUUGCAAAAAGGGGGGGAAAGAUGUCACAU